rnacentral:lncRNA from 1 species
CAAGUUAGCUGUAUGGAUGGCUAUGAGGGGUGCACACAGCCCGUUCACCAACUGAGGAAUGGAGAACUCGAAGGGAGGAACGGAGACUCGGCCAAGCCUCAGCACUCACAGCGGCAGGGUGGAUGAGUUCUAAUAAGGGUAGUUUCCUGUGACAGUCCGGAAUCUGGAACUAGGCAUCAGCCCAAAUGGCUCCUGCAUGAAAAGCUGCGGUGGAUCUAAGUGGCAGCUAGGAGUCAAGGCAACUAGCUUCCUCCGAAGCGAGGCAAGACAAGGCACAGCCGAGAAGCCACUCAACCUCUGUUCCCAAUGAAUCCAUUUCCAUGUCCCUGCUUCGCUGUACGACACCCCACACCCUGAUGUGCAUCUUGUGAAAAAUCAAGAUGAAAAUAAAAGGUCAGGAGAAAACUCAAAAAAAAA